UGGGGAAUCUUGGGCAAUGGGCGAAAGCCUGACCCAGCCACGCCGCGUGGAGGAAGACACCCCUAUGGGGCGUAAACUCCUUUUAUAUGGGAAGAAAACUUUCCUCGGGAAAGAUUGACGGUACCGUAUGAAUAAGCACCGGCUAACUCCGUGCCAGCAGCCGCGGUAAUACGGAGGGUGCAAGCGUUGUCCGGAUUCACUGGGUGUAAAGGGUGUGUAGGCGGGACGGUAAGUCAGAGGUGAAAGCCCACGGCCUAACCGUGGAAUUGCCUUUGAUACUGCCGUUCUUGAGUCUCGGAGAGGUCGCUGGAAUUCGUGGUGUAGCGGUGAAAUGCGUAGAUAUCACGAGGAACACCAGAGGCGUAGGCGGGCGACUGGACGAGAACUGACGCUGAGGCACGAAAGCGUGGGGAGCAAACAGGAUUAGAUACCCGCGUAGUCC
rnacentral:rRNA from 1 species